GCGGUAACGUCUACGUCAUUUCCACCCAGAGGCGUGGGCGCUGCACCGGACGAAAAGGCUCUUCUCCAGGCUGCACCAAGCAUUUUGAUAGCGGCAGUCGGGGCGGACGUAAGGUUCAUACGGGAGCGCAUCAGCAUUUUACAGGGUUCGAAAGAGAGGUUACCUGAAAGAGGAGCGACACAGAGCGAGUCGGCGGCAGCAAGAUGCCAACCAUCAGUGACGAGGACAGAAAGGCUGCCACGUUCGGGACGGCCAUAUCGGCCGGAGUAUUGCUCCCAGCAGCUGCGGCUGCUGGUCCCUUUGCACCGCUGGUGGCAACAAUUGGACUAGCAAUGGCUGGUAUCGGAUGCCUUGCAGGAUUCAUUACUGUUCAGGCCCUACCAAGCGAUGAAAAAAAAAAGUAACAGGCACAUCAAAGAACGAAUACCCUAAGGCGCCCGAACGCAAAUUGACGGACGUCUCGCUUUUCAAGGGCCGUCUGUAUGGGAUAUUCAAAAGCCAGCCAACACAAUGUAGAAAGGCCUAUUUGGGAUUUCUGGAAUUAUAUAAAAGUAUUGAAGACAUUUAUGCUAUUAAUAAAAAUGAGGCGUGUCGUACCUCAUUUAUGCUAUA